CCUACGGGAGGCAGCAGUGAGGAAUAUUGGUCAAUGGGCGCGAGUCUGAACCAGCCAAGUCGCGUGAAGGAAGACGGUCCUAUGGAUUGUAAACCUCUUUUGUCGGGGAGCAAAAGACGCCACGCGUGGCGUACUGAGAGUACCCGAAGAACAAGCAUCGGCUAACUCCGUGCCAGCAGCCGCGGUAAUACGGAGGAUGCGAGCGGUAUCCGGGUUUGUGGGGUUUAAGGGGAGCGCAGGCGGAAGAUCAAGGCAGCGGUAAAAUUGAGGGGCUCAACCUGGUCGAGCCGUUGAAACUGGUGUUCUUGAGUGAGCGAGAAGUAGGCGGAAUGCGUGGUGUAGCGGUGAAAUGCUUAGAUAGCACGCAGAACUCCGAUUGCGAAGGCAGCAUACCGGCGCUCAACUGACGCUGAUGCACGAAAGUGUGGGUAUCGAACAGGAUUAGAUACCCUUGUAGUC
rnacentral:rRNA from 1 species